CGGUAAUACGUAGGCGGCAAGCGUUAUCCGGAUUCACUGGGCGUAAAGCGCGUGCAGGCGGUUCGGUAAGUUGGGCGUGAAAUCUUCUGGCUUAACUAGGAGAGGUCGUUCAAUACUACCGGACUUGAGAGUGGUAGAGGAAGAUGGAAUUCCCGGUGUAGUGGUGAAAUGCGUAGAUAUCGGGAGGAACACCAGUGGCGAAAGCGAUCUUCUGGACCAUUUCUGACGCUCAGACGCGAAAGCUAGGGUAGUAAACGGGAUUAGAGACCCCGGUAAUCCUAGCCGUAAACGAUGUAAACUUGGCGUCGGUGGCUUAAACUCCAUCGGUGCCGCAGCUAACGCGAUAAGUUUACCGCCUGGGGACUACGAUCGCAAGAUUAAA
rnacentral:rRNA from 1 species